rnacentral:rRNA from 1 species
UACGUAGGCAGCAAGCGUUGUUCGGAAUUACUGGGCGUAAAGAGUGUGUAGGUGGUGUCGUAAGUUUGGUGUGAAAUCUCCCGGCUUAACUGGGAGGGUGCGCCGAAGACUGCGAUGCUGGAGUAUGGGAGAGGAAAGCGGAAUUCCUGGUGUAGCGGUGAAAUGCGUAGAGAUCGUAAGGAAGACCAGUGGCGAAGGCGGGUCUCUGGGCCGUAACUGACGCUGAGGAGCGAAAGCGUGGGGAGCGAACAGG